UGGAAUGUAGAGAAGUAUGUUG
rnacentral:miRNA from 1 species